AACGAACGCUGGCGGCGUGCUUAACACAUGCAAGUCGAACGUGAAAGACUUCGGUCGAGUAAAGUGGCGAACGGGUGAGUAACGCGUGGGUAAUCUGCCCUCGGGCGGGGGAUAACCUCUCGAAAGGGGGACUAAUACCGCAUGAGACCACGGCUUCUUGGAGCUGUGGGAAAAGGUGGGUCGCAAGACCAGCCACCUGAGGAUGAGCCCGCGUACCAUUAGGUAGUUGGUGGGGUAAUGGCCUACCAAGCCUGAGAUGGUUAGCUGGUCUGAGAGGACGAUCAGCCACACUGGGACUGAGACACGGCCCAGACUCCUACGGGAGGCAGCAGUGGGGAAUAUUGCGCAAUGGGGGGAAACCCUGACGCAGCAACGCCGCGUGUGUGAAGAAGGCC
rnacentral:rRNA from 1 species